ACGAAAUUCUUCCUUGGGUUUAGAGGAGCUUUGGAAUACUUCCUUGGGUAUAAAUCCUGGUGAUGGAAACACAGAAACACUUCCGGUAGAAAGCGUGAUUUCCAUGGGCACCUUUAGAUCGAUAUUGGUGGAUAAUUGGUCAAAUAACCCACCAGAUAAAACUUCCUUGGAGGUUACGAAUACAAUGGGCGACACUUUAUGGUGGAUGUUCUUUAAUACCUCGGGUACUGACAGACCUUUGUCUUCUUGGAUGACAGCCUCUAAUGUUCUCAACAGUUCAGUCAAUUCAGUUCCUUCCAUUUAUGAAUCCAAAUUUCACUUCAACCAUGAACCAUGUGACC